rnacentral:piRNA from 1 species
AACACGUAGACACAAAGACACCU